GGGGCUGUGGAUCAGUGGUAGAGCAUCUGCUUUGCAUGGCAAAGGUUCCGGGUUCUGUCCCCGGCAUCUCCA
rnacentral:tRNA from 1 species